rnacentral:rRNA from 1 species
UACAGAGACUGCAAGCGUUAUUCGGAUUCACUGGGCGUAAAGGGUGCGCAGGCGGCCAUAUGUGUGAGGCGUGAAAGCCCGGGGCUUAACCCCGGAAUUGCACCUCAAACUAUAUGGCUAGAGCAUUGGAGAGGGUAGCGGAAUUCACGGUGUAGCAGUGAAAUGCGUAGAUAUCAAGUGGAACACCAGUGGCGAAGGCGAGUCUCUGGACAUUUCCUGACGCUGAGGCACGAAAGCCAGGGGAGCAAACGGG